GAGGAAAGGGUGUGGGUGUCUGCUCCUGCGCGCAUCGGGUGGGGAGGAAGGCCUCCCAAAGGGCACCCUGCCUUAGGGUGUUGUGCAAGCAUCCUUGCUUGGAUCCUGUCGGCCGUGAGAAUCUCACCCGGGCUCCUGGGCAGUGGUGAAUGCAGUUUAAGGAUAGUCUAUGAGAUACCUUUCUUGGUUGUGCAGACAUGCAUCCCUUCAUCCUUCCGCAGGCGGUCCUGCCUCACAGGGCCUCAGGUUUUGGGUCUGCGGCCAGCUGUGUUUGUUUCUUGGAGCAGUUUAUAAAGAAUUUCAGUUUAUGAUUUGGGCUAGCAGAGAGGGACCCGAGUGUAUAGCCCUCCAGAGUGGAUCCGCUACCAUCGCUACCAUGGCAGGUCGGCGGCAGUCUGGUCCCUGGGGAUCCUGCUAUAUGAUAUGGUGUGUGGAGAUAUUCCUUUCGAGCAUGAUGAAGAGAUCAUCAGGGGCCAGGUUUUCUUCAGGCAGAGGGUCUCUUCAGAAUGUCAGCAUCUCAUUAGAUGGUGCUUGGCCCUGAGACCAUCAGAUAGGCCAACCUUCGAAGAAAUCCAGAACCAUCCAUGGAUGCAAGAUGUUCUCCUGCCCCAGGAAACUGCUGAGAUCCACCUCCACAGCCUGUCGCCGGGGCCCAGCAAAUAGCAGCCUUUCUGGCAGGUCCUCCCCUCUCUGUCAGAUGCCCAAGGGAGGGGAAACUUCUGUCUCCAGCUUCCCGAGUACCAGUGACACUUCUCGCCAAGCAGGACAGUGCUUGAUACAGGAACAACAUUUACAACUCAUUCCAGAUCCUAGGCCUC
rnacentral:sRNA from 1 species